CUGAGCAAUAUCUCUGUGAGUAUUGGUCGAUCACAAACAUCCUUUUGAAGUUACAAGUCUUUAGAGCUACAGAGUCUAUAAUCUCCCAGAGAUUCUUACCAUUUUAUUACUGCUUUCUAAUAUUCUAAUCCUAAUUUCAAACAUUGUUGCAGUCUAAACACAUAAUUUCUUGUUCUAUAUCUUGGGUCAUGGAAAAUAAUUUAUUCCUUCUCUCCUACCUGCAGCCUUUUAUAUAUUUGAGAAAUUUCUGCUUUUCUUUUUUUUCUAGGUUAAAGAAUCAUAAUUCAUUCAUGUUUUUCUUUCUCUCCAGUUAUGUUUUCUAGAAUCCCAGUUGUUCAUACUAUUCCACUGAGCUCUCUUCAAUUUUAAAUCUUUCACAAACUGCGGUGUUCAAAAUUGGAAAAGAAACCCAGCUGAGGCUUGAACGGAGCAGAGUAGAACAGAAGAAUUGUUUAUAGGCUAUCUGACUGUUUCUAAUUUAUUAGUCUAUGCCUUUUUGCAUCACAGUGGCAUUGUUCACAUUUAGAUUGUCACCCAACUACACCCUUUUCUGUGAAACUGUUGCAUUAUCAGAACUCUGUAUCAGUAAGUCUCUUCUUGACAGAACAGUCCUUCUAUAAAAACUGAAAGACCCUGGAAAAGAAGUUAAAUUCUGCAGAGGGAGAUGGAAUAAGAUUUAAGAAAUAGAUGAUCCACUAUAGAGGAAAAAUUUAUUUGCCAUAGCUGAUGUCAAGUAGUUAGAAGUCAUUGAAUCUUUUUCCAGUGCUGCAGGUCUCCCACCAGCCUUCCCCAGACAGAGAUGUGGUUCUGCUCCUGUAAUGCUGGUCCCAGAUGUGGAUUCAAAGCCAAUUCAGCUGCUCUUCUGUGAGUCAGACGAAAGUACUGGGAGUGUCAAACUGUUCUGUGGCUGUACACCAAUAUGGUUCUGCUGAUAUCCAGGGGAGCUCUGUUGGUGCCAAAGCUGUAAGUUACAGGUCUCUGUGUAGAGCUGUUCAUCAUUCAGUGUUUUUC
rnacentral:lncRNA from 1 species